rnacentral:rRNA from 1 species
CCUACGUGUGGCAGCAGUGGGGAAUAUUGCACAAUGGGGGAAACCCUGAUGCAGCGACGCCGCGUGAGUGAAGACGUAUUUCGGUAUGUAAAGCUCUAUCAGUAGGGAAGAAGAAAGACGGUACCUGACUAAUAAGCCCCGGCUAACUACGUGACAGCAGCCUCGGUAAUACGUAGGGGGCAAGCGUUAUCCGGAUUUACUGGGUGUAAAGGGAGCGUAGACGGAUGGGCAAGUCUGAAGUGAAAGCCUAGGGCUCAACCCUGAGACUGCUUUGGAAACUGUGGAGCUAGAGUGCAGGUGAGGUAAGUGGAAUUCGUAGUGGAGCGGUGAAAUGCUUAGAUAUUAGGAGGAACCCCAGGGGCGAAGGCGGCUUACUGGACAGUAACUGACGUUGAGGCUCGAAAGCGUGGGGAGCAAACAGGAUUAGAUACCCUGGUAGUC